rnacentral:rRNA from 1 species
AUUGAACGCUGGCGGCAGGCUUAACACAUGCAAGUCGAGCGGGGAAGGGUAGCUUGCUACCUAACCUAGCGGCGGACGGGUGAGUAAUGCUUAGGAAUCUGCCAUUUAGUGGGGGACAACAUUCCGAAAGGAACGCUAAUACCGCAUACGCCCUACGGGGGAAAGCAGGGGAUCUUCGGACCUUGCGCUGAUAGAUGAGCCUAAGUCGGAUUAGCUAGUUGGUGGGGUAAAGGCCUACCAAGGCGACGAUCUGUAGCGGGUCUGAGAGGAUGAUCCGCCACACUGGGACUGAGACACGGCCCAGACUCCUACGGGAGGCAGCAGUGGGGGAUAUUGGACAAUGGGCGGAAGCCUGAUCCAGCCAUGCCGCGUGUGUGAAGAAGGCCUUUUGGUUGUAAAGCACUUUAAGCGAGGAGGAGGCUACCUGGAUUAAUACUCUAGGAUAGUGGACGUUACUCGCAGAAUAAGCACCGGCUAACUCUGUGCCAGCCGCCGCGGUAAAAC